GUCUGAGAAGGAGCUAAGGGCUCCCUGGUUCAAAGGGCCGCAGCCCCGAGGGAAUGCCCUCUUCGUGUGCCCCGGGGUGCAGAAGCAGACUGCAGGGCGGUGGGACCAGCCUGGGCCACGAGGCAGAGAGUAGGAGAUGGCAGCAGGAGAGAUGGUGUGUUGGAUAACUCUUGGGGAAGAAUUUUCUUGUAUCAGUCAGUGUCCCAGCAGGAAACAGAUGGCCCCCUCUAACACGGGCGCAGUGAACUUCACAGAAGAGGAAGCAAAAAGAGUAUAAGAGCCAGAGAAGAUGGAAGACACCAAGGAAACAAGGCCUUCUAGACACAACCAAGUUGGCACACAUAUGACCUCACAUAGUCUGCAGCAGCAAGCACUGGGUCUGCACAGGCAUGGACUGGGGAGAGGAAUUGGAUCCACAUAGCCUGGUGCCAAUCUGGAUGAGAAGAAUCCCAUCUGGGCAGCUAUCCAGGUUAAUGCCCACCCUCGUAUUCCUCUCCAUGGAGCCUUGUAGCCAACAUAUUGACUUACCCCCCCAUACUCUGCAAGAUCAUAAUCAUAAGACAAAGCUCUCUGAAAAGAGGCACACACCCUUCUCAGGAAGAAAUGGUCCAUGUAUUUGGGCUGGCAAGUCAUGAAGGAGGGAAAGCCACUUCCAUAUGUCUUCUGCAGCGCCCCCAGGAAACUCACGCUGCUCACAUCAGGACUCUGGAUAACAUAUGA
rnacentral:lncRNA from 1 species